CGGCUCUCGAAACCGACACUUUCUGUUCAGUUUUUUCGCCCUUCGCUCUCUUAGUCCACAUCCAGACGCCGGGGCCCCCGGAGACAAAGAUGCGCGCGCACGCACACACACACGCACACACACACACACACACACAGGCUCAGUUCUCCUCGAUGCCCCAGAUGAGUAACGUGCGUCGCCUCUCAUGGAACCUAAAUUUACAUGUGUGGUUUGGACGACGACCUCUUCCUGAAAAUGAACAGACUUCCAGUAACGGCUGAAUGUACCGCCGUAUUUACUCAUCGCUACCACGAGAUUAAGAGCUCUAACGCUUUCAUGGAAGGGUUUCUUACUGCCGAACCAUGGAGGAGUUAUGCAACAAACUAAAAAAUCAAAUAAGAGUGUCCUGAUGCUCUUGAAACGGAGUGAGAUGUCUGUUCCUCUUUCAGGAUGGACGCUUUCUGUCAAUGAAGUUCUCUCUCGAUGCCCAUGAGACGAAUGAGGUUCUCUCUGUGAACUGGGGGGGACUCUCGCGGUGCGACACGUCAGGAGCACCCAGCGAAACAUAGCCGGGGUGGCUUUGGACAUGGAAUGUCCUACAGAAACAGGCGGGAACAGGAGAAGAACUUCUGCAGAAUGAUGAUCAUCACACCAGUGGGUGGCUCAUCAUCUUGGGAGAGCAGAGGAGGAAAUGGCAGCGUCACCGACAGCAGCACAAGCACAGGGGACGUUACGGCAGCAAGAGUGCAGCUCUGCGCCGCAACGAGCGGCAGGUCACUGCUUGUCCCUGUGACUUUGGGCCGCGGUCCUGUGAGCAUCAGCGAAGACAUGUGACUCGGCGCCGGUGGCUGCCGUACACGGACAGGCUGUGGCACCUCCUCCACCGUGUUUCCAGAGAAGCUGGUGGCUUUUGGGCCAUGAGCUGCUCCUUAUUCCCUCCACACUUUCCUCUUUCCAUCGCUCUUUCCAUCACUUCCAUCUGUCCAUAAGAAUGUUCCAGAACUCUGCAGGCUUGUUAAAUCUACUUUUAGUAAACUCUGGCUUGGUCUUUCUCCUCUUGAGGCUCUUCAGUGGUUCGGAUCGUGUGAUGAACCCUGAGGUUACGCUCGUGUCCUUCUCUUGAUGGCAGUCUUUAUGACACCUCUGCCUACUGGCUGGACAGGGUUCCCGAUCUGUCCAACGGCUCCAAAGUGGCUCUUCUUCACAACCGAAGCUCUUCUCCAGCCAUCCACCGCAACGCUCUUCCAUGGUCCACCACAUUGUUUGUUCCUGCUGCUGCUGCUGCUGAGCUCACCAGCGUGUUCUUGCUUCUGACCAACGUACCACACACUCCAUUUUGACACUCCUGAUGUCUCGCCGAUGUCCCUGAUGAACAUACCCUGCCUUUCCAGCCCCAUGUUGGCCUCCUUUACUACUAUGGACACUUUUUUUGGUCCUCAUGUUGAGAGGCAGCAGCGACGGACUCGAGAUGCAAAGGCCUCGUCUGGAAUCACCUGCCGACCUUCUCCGGGUUCUCGUGCCUGAAGUGCCGAUGCUGUGCCGCGCAGCCACGCCCGCUGAGCUCCCAAGUGUCCAAUUACCUUCGUCCCCUAAAAUGUGGGAGGUCUGUGUGUAAAAAGACCUGCGGUCCUUCCACGGUUUACCCCCGUUACGAAGCUGACAGUGAGCCCUUUAACCUCAGAGUCAACGUUUCAUCUCCAGUCCAACUUGCAAGAGUGCAGAGACAAAGCAACGAGAAGCGUGUCGUUGUCCAGACAGCGGAGGUCAACACGGACUGGACAUGUGUUUAAGGGUCAACUGUCAGCGGAUACAGUGGGACCACAUGGUGACCUUUUCAAUAUAGGUCAAAGGCACCUUUCCUAAAUGAGUGUCACACCACACACAGCACACAAACAAAAGAAGUUCUGGCCAGAAUAUUUCUCAUUUUUAUCCAUUUAUUUACUUUUUCUUGUAGGCAUAUUUAUGUUACUGGGAUCCAGAGCCUUGUUACAUGAUGAAUGAACCAAACUGAACCUGGAUUCAUGCCCUUCAAACUGUUUUGUUUACUUACAGAACUAAGUACUUAUUUCCCACGAGUGUCAGAACACAAUUUACACUUUAAACAUUCAUCAUAUGAGGAAUAACUGGCACAUCCCUGUUUCAGCAGGAUCUUGCUCUCUUUGCCAAAUCAUUUUUGGCAUGUUUCAACACUGCAAAAUAAUAACAAUAAAAUACAACUCUAGUGAACCUAAAACA
ensembl:lncRNA